AGACGAACCGUGCGAACGUUAUUCGGAAUCACUGGGCUUAAAGCGCGUGUAGGCGGGUCGGCACGUCGGCCGCUGAAAUCCCCCGGCUCAACCGGGGAAGUGGCGCCGAUACGACCGACCUGGAGGGGGGUAGGGGGAGCCGGAACUUCCGGUGGAGCGGUGAAAUGCGUUGAGAUCGGAAGGAACGCCCGUGGCGAAAGCGGGCUCCUGGACCCCACCUGACGCUGAGACGCGAAAGCCAGGGGAGCGAACGGGAUUAGAUACCCCGGUAGUCCUGGCCGUAAACUAUGGGCACUGGGUAGGGGGGCUCGCCGAUGGGCCCCCUGCCGCAGGGAAACCGUCAAGUGCCCCGCCUGGGGAGUAUGGUCGCAAGGCUGAA
rnacentral:rRNA from 1 species